rnacentral:rRNA from 1 species
AUGCGCCAUGCCGCGUGUAUGAAGAAGGCCUUCGGGUUGUAAAGUACUUUCAGUUGUGAGGAAGGGGGUGUCGUUAAUAGCGGCAUCUCUUGACGUUAGCAACAGAAGAAGCACCGGCUAACUCCGUGCCAGCAGCCGCGGUAAUACGGAGGGUGCGAGCGUUAAUCGGAAUUACUGGGCGUAAAGCGCAUGCAGGUGGUUCAUUAAGUCAGAUGUGAAAGCCCGGGGCUCAACCUCGGAACUGCAUUUGAAACUGGUGAACUAGAGUACUGUAGAGGGGGGUAGAAUUUCAGGUGUAGCGGUGAAAUGCGUAGAGAUCUGAAGGAAUACCAGUGGCGAAGGCGGCCCCCUGGACAGAUACUGACACUCAGAUGCGAAAGCGUGGGGAGCAAACAGGAUUAGAUACCCUGGUAGUCCACGCCGUAAACGAUGUCUACUUGGAGGUUGUGGCCUUGAGCCGUGGCUUUCGGAGCUAACGCGUUAAGUAGACCGCCUGGGGAGUACGGUCGCAAGAUUAAAACUCAAAUGAAUUGACGGGGGCCCGCACAAGCGGUGGAGCAUGUGGUUUAAUUCGAUGCAACGCGAAGAACCUUACCUACUCUUGACAUCCAGAGAAGCCAGCGGAGACGCAGGUGUGCCUUCGGGAGCUCUGAGACAGGUGCUGCAUGGCUGUCGUCAGCUCGUGUUGUGAAAUGUUGGGUUAAGUCCCGCAACGAGCGCAACCCUUAUCCUUGUUUGCCAGCGAGUAAUGUCGGGAACUCCAGGGAGACUGCCGGUGAUAAACCGGAGGAAGGUGGGGACGACGUCAAGUCAUCAUGGCCCUUACGAGUAGGGCUACACACGUGCUACAAUGGCGCAUACAGAGGGCAGCGAACUUGCGAGAGUGAGCGAAUCCCAAAAAGUGCGUCGUAGUCCGGAUUGGAGUCUGCAACUCGACUCCAUGAAGUCGGAAUCGCUAGUAAUCGUAGAUCAGAAUGCUACGGUGAAUACGUUCCCGGGCCUUGUACCCACCGCCCGUCACACCAUGGGAGUGGGCUGCAAAAAAAUGGGUAGUUUAACCUUCGGG